GCCGUGAUUGUAUAGUGCUUAGUACUCUGCACUGUGGCUGCGGUAACCUCAGUUCGAAUCUGAGUCUCGGCA
rnacentral:tRNA from 1 species